CGCUUACCUGCAGUCGAGCGGGGAAAUGUAGCUUGCUACUUUACCUAGCGGCGGACGGGUGAGUAAUGCUUAGGAAUCUGCCUAUUAGUGGGGGACAACAUCUCGAAAGGGAUGCUAAUACCGCAUACGUCCUACGGGAGAAAGCAGGGGACCUUCGGGCCUUGCGCUAAUAGAUGAGCCUAAGUCGGAUUAGCUAGUUGGUGGGGUAAAGGCCUACCAAGGCGACGAUCUGUAGCGGGUCUGAGAGGAUGAUCCGCCACACUGGGACUGAGACACGGCCCAGACUCCUACGGGAGGCAGCAGUGGGGAAUAUUGGACAAUGGGGGGAACCCUGAUCCAGCCAUGCCGCGUGUGUGAAGAAGGCCUUUUGGUUGUAAAGCACUUUAAGCGAGGAGGAGGCUACCGAGAUUAAUACUCUUGGAUAGUGGACGUUACUCGCAGAAUAAGCACCGGCUAACUCUGUGCCAGCAGCCGCGGUAAUACAGAGGGUGCAAGCGUUAAUCGGAUUUACUGGGCGUAAAGCGCGCGUAGGUGGCCAAUUAAGUCAAAUGUGAAAUCCCCGAGCUUAACUUGGGAAUUGCAUUCGAUACUGGUUGGCUAGAGUAUGGGAGAGGAUGGUAGAAUUCCAGGUGUAGCGGUGAAAUGCGUAGAGAUCUGGAGGAAUACCGAUGGCGAAGGCAGCCAUCUGGCCUAAUACUGACACUGAGGUGCGAAAGCAUGGGGAGCAAACAGGAUUAGAUACCCUGGUAGUCCAUGCCGUAAACGAUGUCUACUAGCCGUUGGGGCCUUUGAGGCUUUAGUGGCGCAGCUAACGCGAUAAGUAGACCGCCUGGGGAGUACGGUCGCAAGACUAAAACUCAAAUGAAUUGACGGGGGCCCGCACAAGCGGUG
rnacentral:rRNA from 1 species